CCGAAGGUAUCCAUCCCAGGUUCGGAUGACGGGAUGGAUUUAAACGGGAAUCCGGUGAAGGCGCCUGGCGCGCCCAUUCCGGAGCUGCCCCGCAGCGGUGAAUGGAAACGAAUCCUGCCAACAGCACUGGGCUCACGCCUGGGAAGCGGCGGGUAGUAGGUGGGCUGCGGCCCGUGUCCAUCAGCCCGAAGACCGGCCCCGGCCGGGGGACACGA
rnacentral:ncRNA from 2 species